AAUCCUGUAGCUUAGUUGGUUGAAGCGCCGCAUUACAUUGCGAAGGACGAGGGUUCGAGUCCCUCUGGGAUCA